rnacentral:rRNA from 1 species
CAUGUAGGCGGAUAUGCAAGCUUGGUGUGAAAGGCAGGGCUUAACUCCUGGACUGCGUUGAGAACUGCAUAACUAGAGUAACUGAGGGGCAACCGGAAUUCCAGGUGUAGGGGUGAAAUCUGUAGAUAUCUGGAAGAACACCAAUGGCGAAGGCAGGGUUACCAGCAGAUUACUGACGCUGAGGUGCGAAGGUGCGGGGAGCAAACGA